rnacentral:rRNA from 1 species
ACGGCUCAGUAACACGUGGCCAACCUACCCCGAGGAGGCGGAUAACCCCGGGAAACUGGGGUAUAAACCGCCAUAGGUGAGGGGUUCUGGAACGACCCUCCGCUGAAAGACGUGCGCGGGGAUGCCUGUGCACGUGCCUCGGGAUGGGGCUGCGGCCCAUCAGGUAGUUGGUGGGGUAACGGCCCACCAAGCCUAUAACGGGUACGGGCCCUGAGAGGGGGAGCCCGGAGAUGGACUCUGAGACAAGAGUCCAGGCCCUACGGGGCGCAGCAGGCGCGAAAACUCCGCAAUGCGCUCACGCGUGACGGGGUUACCCCGAGUGCCACCCUCGUGGUGGCUUUUGCGCGGUCUAAAAAGCCGCGCGAAUAAGCGGGGGGCAAGACGGGUGUCAGCCGCCGCGGUAAUACCCGCUCCGCGAAUGGUGAGGACUAUUACUGGGCUUAAAGCGUCCGUAGCCGGCCCGGCGUGCUCCGCGUUAAAUCCAGCAGCCUAACUGCUGGGCUGCGCGGAUGACUGCCGGGCUUG